rnacentral:rRNA from 1 species
AUUGAACGCUGGCGGCAGGCCUAACACAUGCAAGUCGAGCGGAUGAAGGGAGCUUGCUCCUGGAUUCAGCGGCGGACGGGUGAGUAAUGCCUAGGAAUCGGCCUGGGAGUGGGGGAUAACGUCCGGAAACGGGCGCUAAUACCGCAUACGUCCUGAGGGAGAAAGUGGGGGAUCUUCGGACCUCACGCUAUCAGAUGAGCCUAGGUCGGAUUAGCUUGUUGGUGGGGUAAAGGCCUACCAAGGCGACGAUCCCGAACUGGUCUGAGAGGAUGAUCAGUCACACUGGAACUGAGACACGGUCCAGACUCCUACGGGAGGCAGCAGUGGGGAAUAUUGGACAAUGGGCGAAAGCCUGAUCCAGCCAUGCCGCGUGUGUGAAGAAGGUCUUCGGAUUGUAAAGCACUUUAAGUUGGGAGGAAGGGCAGUAAGUUAAUACCUUGCUGUUUUGACGUUACCAACAGAAUAAGCACCGGCUAACUUCGUG